CACGUAGGGGGCGAGCGUUGUCCGGAUUUAUUGGGCGUAAAGAGCUCGUAGGUGGCUUAGUAAGUCGGGUGUGAAACCUCCAGGCUCAACCUGGAGACGCCACCCGAUACUGCUAUAGCUUGAGUCCGGUAGGGGAGCGUGGAAUUCCUGGUGUAGCGGUGAAAUGCGCAGAUAUCAGGAGGAACACCAGCGGCGAAGGCGGCGCUCUGGGCCGGUACUGACACUGAGGAGCGAAAGCGUGGGGGAGCAAACAGG
rnacentral:rRNA from 1 species